UCUUGGCUAAAUAGAACCUCACCUGCUC
rnacentral:piRNA from 1 species